rnacentral:lncRNA from 1 species
CUACGUAUCCUCAUCGAAUGUUACAGUGGGAAUAUAGCUUAAAACCCAAGCAGCCAAAAAAAAUGGGAUGUUCUAAUCCUAGCCAAGAAUUGACUUGAUUUUCGCCUUCUGAUCCUCCGCAAGUGAUGUGGGGAACAAAACCUCAUAGGUGACAAAGAGGUCUCCUUUCUUGUUGCUAAAAUGCAAUGGCAUUCCUUCUCCUUUGAACUUUCUCACCUCCUUUGGCUUGGUAAUACCCUAAGUAUGCAAUACACAAUUAUUUCUUAUUUUGGAUCAUUUUGUUGAUCGCGGACAACAUAAAAUCAAAUCUACAUGGGUCAUGUUAUGCUUACCUUAGAGCCAAUCUCCACUAAAUGGUCAUCAAGGUGUUUAAUGGUCUUAUCAAAACCAACAAGAGCUUGAACCUAGAGCAAAUAAUGACAAUAAAAUUAGUUGAUAGUUUUCUAACAAAAUGUAGAUAUAGAUGGAGAAAUCGUCUUACAAGUGUUAUGGUGACGGUGGUGUGCAAGUCAUUGCCUUCCCUCCUGAAUCGGUCAUGGGGUGCUGUAUGAAUACGGAACUACAGAAAAUGCAAGUCUUAUGUGAGCAAGAACGAGCAAGUUCCAAUAUACUAACUAAAGGCAGCAAAUGAUUCUGGAGACAGGAAUCUACCGGCCUUGCCCAAUGGCCAGCAAGUAGCACAAUUAACUGAUCUAUUUAGAAGGACUGGAAAAUUUUCAUCAAUGGUUAAAGACUAACCUUCAAAUCUCCAGGUUCUCCAUCUAUAAUAUGCUCACCAUCUUCAUAAAAGACCACCUCCUGUAGAACACACAGGAAACACAUUAUUCAAAAUUUAAAAACAGUACCACGCACUAGAUGAAAAUACAACUAUUAUACUCCUAGCAAUAGUGUGAUAAAACUACAAUAUGACGGAAAGUACAAAAUCCCAUAAUUGUAGUUGGACAGGUAAUUAAGAUGAAAUUGUCAAAUGAAUGAAUCUGCACCAAAACAAAGAACUCUAUUUAAACAUGGCAUUAAGAAUCCUUAGAGAUUUUACUAAAUUACAUUCCUUUGUCUGUUUCUUUGCCCCCACAUUGGAUUAAUGAUGAACAGGAAAGCAUGUCAAAACAAGUCGGAACACCCUGAUACAUGAUUAAUCAUUCUGCUGUUGUUAUAAUUGUCAUUUCUAAUAGAUCAAAGCACCCAGAAUAAUUUUGAUAAUUCAAGAAACAAACUAUUCAUAUCACAGAACAGCUUGUCCACUAUCACAUUCCCCAAGUUUAAAACACGACAAUAUUUUUUAACAUUAAUUAGGAAAAACAGGACAACAGUCUCAACAAGCAUACGAAGGAAAAUAUUACAAAUUAAAGAAAAAUAAUUUUAAAAACCUACUUGUCCAUCUUGCAUUCCUUUCUCAAUAUCAACUGUGACAAAGUAUCCCUCUCGUUCAUAUUUCACAUUUUGGCACUGCUCGCAGACCUGAGAAAAGAGAAUUGGAGACUAGUAGUAAUAAAUGCCUGAUAAUAGCAACAUCGGACAUGACACUUUUGACAGUGUAAAAAGGCCAAGGAAACAGAUAAAAUACAUAACAGUAUUAAACAUAAAUAUCAAUCAAAAAGAAAAAAAGACAAAGCCACAGUACCUGUUCAGUCAUCUGUUGGAACAUCCCUGGACCAAUUUGCUUAUGAUAGACCUCAUUUCUGCAGUUACAGCGGCGUUUACCUGGAGCUGGUUUUAAGAUGUUUUUCUCCCUCCAAACCUGGUGAAUUUAAGAUAAAUGUUACGUUUUUUUAUUAUUUAUAAAAUAAGAAUACUGACAGGGAAGGUCAUAGGCAAAGGGAAGAGAAAGGCAAACACCAAGCUGCUAACUCCUUCGAUUUCCCCCACAAAGGCUCAAGUUAAGGACAAGAAAAAAAAAUGUACAUCCUAUCUACAUCAUCUUUAUUUCAGGAUAAUCAAUGUAAAAUUCAUUGAUCUCCAAGCGUUCCAAGAAAUAGAACAUUCAGAACAGAGUACAAAUUUGUCAAGUACAAAGGACUAGGUCCAAAGAUGGCCAAGCAACUUUAUCUUACACUUUUGGCAGUCGCCCUAAGGAGGCUGAAGAGAAGAUAUAUUUUAAUAAUCUAGCUCCUAGCUAAGACAGGUCAGGACAUUACAUGGCUUGAUAUGCAUUAUACCAUACCCUAUGAUGCCUUAUAGCUGAUAAACAUUAAAACUCCAAAGAGAGAAUCUAGCCUUGUCAUUUGCAAAGGGUCCACAAAAAAUACUAGAUAGCUUAAGUACCUAUGACGCUUGCAUGUACAAGUUUAAUUAUUAUUAGAUGGAUAUGAUAUUUAGACUACUAAUACAUUGAGAAAGCGAUAACUGUAGUUGCAUACACUAUUCUGCUCACAAACCAGCUUCUCGAGCCUAGAAGGUAAUACAAGUACAAAACAUGCAUAAGUUCAAAACCCUUUACAGAGACUAACAAUUCAGCUAUGACGUUAAAUAAGGUACUAGCCAUGCACAAAAAUCUUCGGUUCCACAGAAGUCAAGAUGACCAAACACAGUCCAACUACCGAUUUGGAAAUUUUAGUAGAGCACAUAAAACUCUCACCUUAAGAGUACCUCCCAUGUACAAAUCUUCUAGUGUUGCAUCCAAUUCAACAAUUACAUCAUCGCCCUUCACAAUUUUCUCUUCCUCUUCUACCGACCCUCCGCCAAAAAACCUGAAGAAAACACCAUCUUGUCAACAUUAAAAUUGAAUUUAGCAUAAAAUAUAUAAAAGUAAACAAUUCCUCAAAAUUGAUGGAUAACGACGUUUAAACUAAGUGGAAGUAGGGCUAGGUAGAUGGUUUUCAAAAGUUGAAAUCAUUCUUGACAUCUGUUACAUUUUAUUGUUGAUUUCAUAUAUUCUCAACUUAACACGUAAGCAUAUGUAAAGGCUCGCAAAAACCCAAAGGAGCAAGACAUUAAGAAGACCAGAGUUCAAACCUAGCGUAACUCAUCCUCCCCAAAAUUGUAAUGUACAAAAAAUAAAGGUUCUGAAAUCUAACAUCAAUUAUAGACAACCUGAAUUUGGGAAACAUUAGCAUGCCUAAGAUAAACCUAAGCUACAUUAAUUGGCUUCUAAACUGUGGUACAAUGUCGGCACACCAUUUAUAAUAGCAUUCAACUACUACUAAAUAGCUGUCAAGAUAAUUAAUACUCGGUUUAGGAACAUGAAUUUGGAUUUCAUUUAUACGUAAAUGGAAAAAGUGAAAAGCAUAAAAACAUGGAUUUAGCUAAUUAAAAAAUAUUUUAAGAAUUCGAAAUUCACUGGUCGGCAUCUUAACAAAUUCAUAGAUUUAAUAAACAUUCAUGAAACGCUACAUAAAGGAAAUGCAAUAUAAACAUUCAAAUAUCUUACGAGCUGAAAAUGUCCUGAAUGUUGACCCCCAUUCCUCCUCUGCCUCCGCUGGCAGCAUGCUGCUUCAGGCCCUCCUCACCAUACCUAUCAUAUAUGCCCCUCUUUUCGCUAUCCGACAACACCUCGUAAGCUAAUCAUUGUCAAAGCAAUUAAUCGUUUAAAGAAGAAAAUUCAACCAAAUCUAUCACUCAACUUAUUUUUCAAAAAUGAUAAUAAUAAAGAACAAGUUUUUUUUUACCGUUGUUAAUGUCAGCAAAUCGCUUAUUGGCCUCUUCAUUGCCGGGGUUCUUAUCAGGAUGGUACUUCAAUGCCAGCUUUCUAUACGCUCUUUUGAUCUGCUCAUCGGAUGCUCCUUUCGGCACUUGCAAUAUGUCGUAAUAACUCUUCCUGCAGCAAAAACAUCACAAAGUUCCACGAACAUAUAUAAACGCAUUUUUCGAGAGAGAGAGAGACGGGAGAGAUUGAGGCAUACCCUGCAAUGGCGACGAUCGCGAGAGACAAAGCGAACAGCAGAAAAAGUAGCUUCGAUCGUGGAAGCGCCAUGGAUUUGAGAUCAGGAGAGAAAUUGGAUCUCUCCAGAACUUAAGAAAUGUUUACAAAUUUUUUAUCAGAUCUUCAAUUCCAACAACAAAAAUAAAAAAAGGUUGAUAUUUCGAGAGAGAAUAGGUGAAGGAUUCUUAAGCUUUGGCGCUGCUUUUAUAAUUUAAUUUCUCUAAUGGAUCGUGUUUUUUUUAUUUUUCAGUUGGAGUACUUGAAAUUCGAAACUGGGAAUUGUUGUUUAAAACAUUUAAACAAAACCAAAGCAACAGCAUACGCGAAAGGGAAACGAAGCGAAGGUUGAGGCAUCAAACGACUUGACCUUGGGGACUAAACUUUUGCGACGUGUUCUCGAGAAAACUGACCAAUGAGCGUAAGCUUCUUGUUGUUUUCUCCAAUAGCGUAUUGACACGUGAUGGAUUCGCCGUCUUCCUGGGUCCUAUAUCUGUUUUCCUGGAUGAUGUAAAAUUUAUUGAUUUACACAGCACUUUAAAAUCAUAUAUAUAAGUAGGGGUGUGCAUAAUUCGGGUAAAACCGAAAAAAUUCGGUUAACUGACCGAAUUCGGUUAAUCGGUCGGUUAACCGAAUUUUUUCGGUCGGGGGUCGGUUAAUUUUUUUAUGAUUUUUCGGUUAACGGUUAAUUCGGUUCGAAACCGGUCGGUUAACUGAAAAUUUUCGGUUAACCGAAAAAAUUAAUAAAUAAAAUUAUCCAACCCAACCCAAACUCAAUUACCCAACCCAAUAAAACUAAAACUAAAGUUUACCCAAUUACCCAAUCCAAUAAAACUAAAACUAAAAGACAAUCCAAUUUACUAAAGUUUAAAACCCAAUUUACUUUAAUAAUUUAUAAAUUUUUUAAAUUUUAAAAAUAAAAAAUAAAAAAAUUCGGGUAUUUUUCGGUAAUUCGAUUAAUUCGGUUAAUUCGGUUAAUUCGGGUAAUUCGGGUAAUUCGGGUAAUUUUUAACCAAAAAUAAAAAAUACAUAAUUUUCGGUUAAUUCGGUUAACCGACCUUAUUAACAGAAAAAAUUUCGGUUCGGUUAAAUUUUUUUAAAAAAAUCGGUUCGAUUAACGGUUAAAAUUUUUGAAAGAUCGGUUAAUUCGAUUAUAGUAAUUUCGAGUCGGUUAACCGGUCGGUUAACCGAAUGAACACCCCUAUAUAUAAGGUCUCAAAAGUUUUUCCUACCUCACAUAACUUAUAAAAUGGUGAUUUGUUGCGGAUGUAGAUCAGAUGGGCCAAAAAUAAAUAUUCUUUUGGAGCUGCUUCGAGACAUAAAAUAAAUGGGCCAAAAUAAAUAUUUUUUUCUCAGAAAAACACCAAUGCCAAUAUAUCCGCUGAGAUUUGUAGUAUAUUGGGCUUCAGUAUGACUAAUGAUUUGGGAUUCUAUUUGGAUAUGUCGUUGUUUCAUCGAUGAGUUACAACAAAUACUUUUAAGUUUAUUGUUGAGAAGGUUCGAAGAAAAUUGGAUAGUUGGGAUGCCAAGUUGCUCUCAAUGGCAGGUCGAGUCACUCUGGCAAGGUUAAUUUUGUUAUCAAUACCCAAUUAUUUCAUGCAAUCUUUAAGAUACUUAUUUCUAUUUGCAAAGAGGUUGCAAAGAUUGCUCAGGGAUCCAUUUGGAGGAGAUCCAUGGUUAGUCAAAAGCCAUCUUUAGUUAACUGGUCUGACUGUUGUCAACCACUUUCUAAUGGAGGUCUUGGUCUCAGUAGCCUUACGGAUCAAAAUGAUUAUGUUCGUCUCAAAUUGGGGUUUAAUUUCCUUUCCAAUAAACAAGCUUAUGGGUUCGUUUCCUACGAGCUAAAUAUAAGAUAGUUGAUGAUUUCCUGGUAGAGAUUUUGAGGAAUCGUUGAUCUUUUCUUUGGAUAUCACUUGCAAAGAUUUGGCCUCUUGUGCGCCAAUGUGUUGGCUGGUCAGUGGGUGAUGAUAAUCAUAUAAAGUUUUGGAUUGAUAAGUAGGUCGCUGGGUUUGGUCCUCUAAUUAAUUAUUGCCAUAAUGUUUCGCUAAUUGAUGAAUCCAUUUCUCUUAGGGAGAUGGUGUUGGUGAAUGGUGAUUGAGAUUGGCAGUAUCUAAGAAGUUUCUUAGAUGUUAAUAUUCUCUCCAACAUUACAGGCAUACCGACUAAGGGUGUGCAAAAUUCGGGUAAAAUCGAAAAAAUUCAGUUAACCAACCGAAUUCGGUUAAUCAAUCUGUUAACUGACCGAAUUCGGUUAAUUGGUCGGUUAACCGAAUUAAUUCGGUCGGGGGUCAGUUAAUAAUUUUUUGAGUUUUCGGUUAACGGUUAAUUCGUUUCGAAACCGAUCAGUUAACCAAAUUUUUUCAGUUUAAUCAAAAAAAUAAUAAAUAAAAUUAUAAUAUAUAAUAGCCCACUAUUCACUUAAAUCCAAUCCAACAUAAACCCAAAUACCUAAUCUAAUAGAUAUUAAUCCAAGUACCCAACCCAAUCAUAAAAAUUACAAAUAAUUUAAUAAAUAAAAAUAAAAAUAAAAAAUAUAUAAUUUUAUACAAAUAAUUCGGUUAAUUCGGUUAAUUUGCGUAAUUCGGGUAAUUCGAUUAAUUUGGUUAAUUUUAUACUUAUUUUAACCAAAAAUAAAAUAUAUAUAUAUACAAUUUUUGGUUAAUUCGGUUAACCGACUGAAUUAACCGAAAAAAUUUCGGUUCGGUUAAUUUUUUUGAAAAAAUUACGAUUCUAUUAAUGGUUAAAAAUUUUGAAGGGUCGGUUAAUUCAGUUAAUGUUAUUUCAGGUCGGUUAACCGACUGAACACCCCUAAUUCCGACUCCAAACCAUCAUGUUGGACUCGAUACUAUGAUAUCACAAUAUUCUUCUAAUGGGAGCUUCUCAGUCAAAUCUACCUAAAAGUUUCUCAGAAAGGACGGCUUAAAUCCUCAAGAAGAGAGCUGGAAACUCAUAUGGUCUUUUCCAGGGCCUCAACUCGUAUGGUAUCAAUACAACAUAGGGGUAUCGAUACCUAAGCCUAUGUAUUGAUAUCAAUACAACAUAGGGGUAUCGAUACCUAAGCCUAUGUAUUGAUACAUUAGUGCUAGUACUAAUACUUUGGGCCAUGUUCUGCAUAUAAAUGAUCCAAAAUGAAUUUUUACUGAAAAGUUUCACUUGAUUUUAAGUUGUACAUUGAAAAUAUGUUAAGAACAUGUUUGUAGGGUUAAAAAUAUGAUCGAAAAAGGGUUCAGAUAAUUGAAUUUAGCCAAGAUUACCCUAGCAUUCAAAUGUGACAUUCCUAUAUUCAACUUAAUAGUUGAAUCAAGUAUAGGGGUGUUACAAUUGGCCUCACAUGGUGAUCGUGUCCCAGCGUGCAUGCGUCGAGGCUUAGAAAUAGGCAAUUACAUAUGGAAAUAUGUGCGGUGUCUACCAGUGUACAAAUCAAAUUGUAAUAUAGUUUUGUUUUUACAAUGAAACACUUCGAAAGUAUUCCUAGAACAGUAUCCAAAGGAGGUUUGUUAAAACUAAAUUGACAGCAAGAAUAAACAAACUAACUAGGUCUAAAUACUACUCGCAUCUAGGUCAUAUUAUGACAAAAUAAAAAGAAGAUGGUUUGCAGAAUAAAGUAACAACAAAAUACCAAAAUCUUAAUCAAUUAAAGCAGACAGAAGGGUGACUCACUUCAAUGUUCAUGGUUAACUUAGAUAUAGGGUUUUUCGCUAAUUAGCUAACAACUAACCUAAUUACCUUUCGGCCUAUAACUAGAUUAAUUGAUUGACUUAAUUUACUUAUUUUUCAACCUAAUAAAUUAAACCGAGUUAGUAGACUAUCCUUUCGGCCUCAUGUACCUAAGUGACUUCCCAGAGUCGUUAAUUCAAAGGUUUUAUCCAAUUAACUUAAGCCAACUAACUAGAUGUGAAACCCUUAACCCAAGCUAACCAAUCUCACUUCAAAUCAUCAACCUUUCCAUGGUUUAGUUCCGAGGCAUUCUAGAUGAAAACUCUCCUAUCAAUUUAUUAAACAUUUAAUUACACAUAAUAAUAAAAGAGAAGAGAGAAGGAAUGCUCAAAAUCCGAAUAUCGUGUAACAUUUCGAAAUAGGGCCUAAACGAAAUAGUGGUUACGAAACCACAAAUUCGAGGUAUAAAAAUUUAUUUUAUUAUUAUUUUGAGGUUCAUGAUAUGAUUGCAUGAUUGUGUGAAAAUUUCGUGAUGAAAUUCUAUGCAUAAAGUGCUUAAGUUGAGAUUAGGGACUAAAUCGAAUAAUUUGCAAAACUUGCAUUCUAGAAGUUUUUAGUAUGAAAUUGCUUUGGAAUAUUAAUUAGGAGGGUUUAAAUAACAAUUUGACCAAUUUCUAAGUUCAUGGACAAAAUAGGACAUGGAUGGAAUUUUUGAAAGUUUAAUAAGGAAGGGCAUUUUGGUCAUUUGGAUAUUAAAUGAAAUAAAAAGGGAAAAAUAACACAAAAUUCAUCAUCUUCUUCAUUAGCACGAAAUUUCAAGGGUUCUCCAUAGCUAGGGUUUGUUUCAAGCUUUCAAGCUCCAUAGUAAGUGAUUCCAAGCCCCAUUUUUAAUGUUCUUUACGUUUUCGGAGUCCCGGUAGCUCGAUAAAGCUUAUGCUAGCAAUAAUUUAAGUUAGGGUUCAUAUUUGGAAAAAUACCCAUAGGUGAAAAGUGUUUAUUUUGAUGUUUUAUGAUAGAAUAUGAGGUUUUAAAUUAUGUUAGACAACUUGUGCUACUCGGUUUUAAGUGAAAACGAGUAAAAUGGAUUAAUCGGUAAAAAUACCUAAUAGUCAUAAGUACAUGUUAGAGUGUGAAUUUGAUGUUGUUAUAGAAGGGAAAAAUGAUCAGCAUAUCAUAAAACAUAAGAAAAUAGGAUGAAGUUUAAAUUACGAGCCUUGGGGAAAAAAUGCAAAUAUGUGAAAGUUUAGGGGCAAAAAUGUAUUUUUUCCAAAGUUUGGGUCAAGGACUGUGUUGAUAAAUGUGAAUAUUAAAUAAGUUAAAUUUGCUAUUAUAGAUCAAGAAGAGCGAAAUUCGGGAGUAGAUCGGGGAAUAGAAAAAGUAAAGGACUAAAUUGUAAAGUUUAGUCACAUUUUGUAUCGAGGUAAGUUUACAGUAAAUAAAUGCAAUAUUCUUUUAUUUUACAUUAUUAUUGUCAAUUUCCAGCAUUUAUAUACUUAUUUUUUUGAGAAUAUUUAAAGUCAAAUUAAAGGCGAAGUGAUAGAGAAAAAGCAUUAGGAAGCCUCGUUUGAACCUUAGGAAUGUUAGGAUAUUGGGGUUGACAGGACAUGAUAGAGCAGAAAUGAGCAUGUAAGUCCAUAUCAGUUAUAUGGUUUUGGAGACAGGAAUGAGCCAUGUAAGCCCAUAUUAUAUAUAUAUGGCAUUGAAGACAGGAAUAAUUCAUGUAAGUCCAUGUCGAAGACAUGGCAUUGGCAAGAUAUUGAUAGACAGGAACGACCCUAGUAUCCUUAGUAUUCCGAGUGGUUCAACAGGUCAUUGUACACGUUAAAUUACAGUGAAUUAUCAGCAAAAGGGAAGGUAGAUUAUAUUUAUGAAUAGUGAAAGGUCAGGUAAGAAAGAAGGUAAGUGAGUAAAGAAGAAGGUAGAAAAUGAGAAGUAAAGAAAGUUUAUGAGGCUAGGUGACAUUAUGAAUAAUUAUUCAUUAUGUUGAAUGUUGUAAUUUAUUUUCUUGUAAGCUUACUAAGCCUAGUGCUUACUCUCUUUAUUUUCUUUUUUUUUUAUAGUUUUUAUCAAGCCACUCAGGGAUCGAAGGAAACGUCGGAGACCCGAUCACACUAUCGAAGAAAUCACAUAGGUAUAGUUAGACGUUUCGUUUUGUGUAUGGCAUGUAUAGGAACUUGAUUUCUUUUGAUAUGAUAUGAUCAAUGAAUGAUGUGUAAAUACUUGCUAGUGAUUAGCUAAUAGAGUGGCUGAUGAUAUACAUGUUUAAUAGUAUGUAUGAUUAAGUAGUAACUAUCACAUGAAAACUAAGAAAAAUGUGAAAGUAACUUAAAAACAGAUUCAAGUAUCAGAAAUAACUAGAUUUUGAAAAAUCACAAGAAAUUUUAGAGACAUGGGUUGAUGGUGAAUAAUAUAUGAAAUUAAAGCUCGUUGUGUCUAUUUUCAUAUGGAAUAAGCAAAACAAGUAAAGGUUUUGUAUUUUAUAGGGUAUCUGAGUUUUGGUGAAAUAGGGCCAGAGCGAUUUCUGGAUCCCCUAUUCCAACUUUAUAAAUUCACCAUAAAUUUUAAAAAAAUAAUUAGGUGGUGUACUUUAUAUGGUUAGAAUCCUUAUUGAAUCUAGUUUUAAUAAAAAUAAACGGUAUAGUCAUAUGAUUUUUGUACAGAGAGAAAAGUGGUUCGUAGUAAGUAGAGGCCAGUGCAGUCGAAUUCUGAAACAGAGGUAACUUUAACUAAUAAACUGUACUAAUUGGCUAAGUAAAAAAUUCUAGAAAAAAAUGGUAUAUAGAUAUAUGAGUCUAGUUUCUGGAAAAAUUUACGGAUCUUAAUUUUGAGUUUUGAAACUCGAGAAAUGAAUUUUUAAGCAACCAUGACGCAGAAAAACAGUUUAUUCCGAAAAUUAAAAUAAGUGGUUUAGAGUUGUUUAAAAGGUAAGAUAAGUUUAGUAACACCUCAAGCUUGACUCCAGUGACGGUUUCGGGCGUGGGGGUGUUACAUAUCGUUAAUUGCAGCUUGAAUCGUGAACCCUCGAUCGAUGUUGAUUGUUGAUAAUGAUAAAGAGAAAAUAACAACGAAACUAAUAUUGAAAUUGAAAUAACUAUUUAACAAUUGAAAAGAAAUUGAAAAUAAAACUAAACCCUAACUAAGAAUAGAAAUCUAAAGUCUAAUUUCUGAAUUGAACCCUCUAAUUAGGUUCUAAGAACUAAUGUUUAUAGUGUUUAUUUUAGAUGACCAAAUUAGGUUAAUUACAAGUUGUGUAAUAGGUUAAUUAUGAUUGUGCCGACAAAAAAAACCCUGGCAUUCAAAUGGGCCUCGUCGAAUCAAUGUUGCGACUUUUAUGGUAGUCUGCUCCCUCUCUAGACUCGAAGUUGGAUGUUGUGACUUUGGCUUGUGGAUGUCGUGACAUCGUCUCCCGUAGAUUACCACUUGGAUUUGAAAUUCUACUAAUUGUUGAGGCUUGCUUCGUUGUUGCAACAUUCCUUUUAAAUGUUGUGACCUCUAGGGCAAUCCACUGACUCAUUGGCCAAAAAUAUUGUCUUGCAGACUUAAUCAACAUGUUAGUUCCUCCUUAGGUCCGGAUUGGCCUAAUAGGUCAUAAAACAACACUAAAAACUCAUUUUAUUAAACUUAAAUUCAAAACUAACUAAUUUUAAAAACAUACUAAAAAUAUAUAAAAUCACUUGAAUACAAGCUCAUUAAGUGUUAAAAAAAAAUCUUAAUUUGCCAGAACAGAUCACAUAGGUGAUGAUGUUGAGACCUAUGUGAAAACUUGUCUAGUGUGUCAACAAGACAAGUUAGAGUUGAAAUCGUCAACCACUUUUUUGCAGCCUUUACUCAUUCCAGAAUGUCCAUGGGAGAGUAUAUCCAUGGAUUUUAUUAUUAGUUUGCUUAAAUUUGAUGGGUUUGCGAGUAUUAUUGUUGUGGUUGACAGAUUUUCCAAGUAUGGAGCAUUCAUUCCAACAAGCAAUGAGUGCCCUACUAAGGAGGCAGCUCGUUUGUUCCUUGGACAUGUGGUAAAAUAUUAGGGAGUGCCACAGUCUAUAGUUAGUGAUCAAAAUGGACGGUUCAUGAGUCAAAUCUGGAAAGAGUUGUUCAAGUUGAAGGGAUUAGACUUGAACUUUUCCAUUAGCAUGCAUUCGCAAACUGAUGGGCAAAUUGUGAGAGUAAAUGUUUUAUUAGAGACUUAUCUUUGACAUUAUGUGAGUGUCACACAGACGGAUUGGCCAAAGUUGUUUGAUGUGACAUAAUUUUCUUAUAACUUGCAGCAGAGUGGGGCCACGAAUCAGAGUCCGUUUAAGAUAGUGACAGAGGUAACAGCUACUCAUACUUAACGUUGUUGUGACCCGUUAUGCAGGACCAAAUCAAAAAACUUAUUGAUUUGCUAAAGAUUGGCAAUAGUAGAAUGACUUAGCCAAAGCUUAACUACAUAAGGCAAGUAAGCACAAAAAGAAGUGGGCUGAUCAAAAUCGCAAAGAUAUGCAAUUUCAAGUUGGUGACUUAGUCCUUGCUAAAUUACACUUGAUUUUGUGUCACAUUAGCUUACACAAAGGGUUUGUACGACGAUACGAGGGAUCUUUUAGAGUUUUAAAGAGGGUAGAUAAGGUGGCCUACAAACUAAAGUGGCCAGCAAAAGUCAAGGUUUAUCUGUUGUUCUAUGUCAGUAUGCUUAAGUCUUUCAAUGAGGACCAGCAGAAUCCCAUUUGAGGUAAGUCCAAAUGAGCGCUAAUGGGUUAGAGGCCUCCUAUGAUCGUGAUAUUGAGUGUAUCAUGGCAGACAAAGUGAUCCAACAGAAGUACUACAGACUAAUGCAUGAAAACCUAGUUCAAUGGAGGGGACUUCUUGAUAAUGAGGCUAAUUAGGAACUUGCCGAGGCUUUAUGGUAGUUCUAAGAGAAGAUAGAUCAAUUUCAUUUCAAGGAUGCGACAAGGUGUCGAGAGAAAAAAUGGAGUAGAAUUCACGACCAUGAAAAAGGAGCUCGUAAGUGAUGCACACAUUUAACACCCUUCAUGUUCCCUUAAAGUCAUUUGACUCAACAAGACUGACCCAUUAUUUGAAAGGGACGCAAGACUCAUUUAUUUAAAUUUUAGUUAAAAUUUAAACACUAAUAAAUUGCAUUUUUGCCUUUUUGAAUUGCUUUCGCUUUAUCUCGAUGCUUUAAAAAUUUUUCAAAAAAAUUCUCAUUUUUUGAAAGUAAAACUAAAUUAGAUAUAUUUGAGGUAAAAAAAUCAGCUAAAACCACUGCCAAAACUUGCUACUAUGUAGCCAUCCCAUUAGACAUGCAUAUAUUUAAUCUCCCAAUUCCUCAUAUAACACUUGUAAUAAUGCGUCCCAACGAUCAAGUCUUACCUUCACCUUUCAAUUGAAAGAAUACUCAAUUCAUACGUAGUUGGGAUAGUUGAAGAUUUCAUCCGAAGACAGGCGAAGGAAGAAUUGAUUCCAGUACCAUCUCACUACCCAUUUCAUCACUAUACUGUGCAACAUAGAAACGACUCAAAUUAUGCUAACAAAAAAACCAUCCUCUGAUCCUAUAGGAAUAAUGUGCUAAACAAACCUCUCCAAAGUGCUGGAUACAUCAACGCAUUAGAGACCAAAUACAUUUCUUUCCAGCAUUUUUCAGACACCGCAAAGGUAAUUUGUUAAUGAGGGAGGGAAUUGGUAAGAAAAUUUUCAAACACCAGAUUUCCUAUUUUCUAUGUAUUCUCAUCAAAUGUAACAAUGGGAAUCUAGCUUAUAACCCAAGCAGCCAAAAAAAAAGGGAUUUUCUAAUCCUAGCCAAGAAUUGACUUGAUUUUCGCCUUCUGAUCCUCCGCAAGUGAUGUGGGGAACAAAACCUCAUAGGUGACAAAGAGGUCUCCUUUCUUGUUGCUAAAAUGCAAUGGCAUUCCUUCUCCUUUGAACUUUCUCACCUCCUUUGGCUUGG